ACUGGAUGCACAGGAAAAAGCCAAAGGACAGUUAUUUGUUGAUGAUGGACAUUCUUUUGAUUAUCAAAGCGGAAAAUUUUUAUUGAGAGAUUUUAACUUCAAUGGCAAUGUAUAAGUAGCAAAGCUGGUAAUGGUAGCGGUCAGCUUGUUACAAAGGCGUGGGUGGAGCGCCUAGUCAUCAUUGGCUACGGGAAGAAACCUAAAGUCUAUUCACUUUCACCU